CAACCUCAAACUAAUACAUUGCUGUUCACAGGUUUAAGGUUGUGGUUUAUUUAUUUAAAGUGCAUCCAAUUUCAUUGGUAAAAACAACGUUAUUUUGUGUAUUUGGUACAAUACAAUGUGUUUGUGUGGUUUAUGGUUAAAAACACAUACAUUUUUAUAGCUUUGGAUUUCCUCCCUUCCUCAAACGCAUUGAUUUUGUACAGAACUCAUCGAUCUGAAAUGCACUGUGUCCCUGAUUGGCCAGCUAAUCUGUACGUUGUGAUUGGCCUGAAUGCCUCUAAUGUCAGCCGGAAAUGUGACGCUCCUGUUUGAAAGAUUCGGUCACAAUGCAAUGCUGACAGCAGUUAAUGUGUAGGCUGUGAGUAAAAGCGGGAGGAAUUUAAGAGACAACGCAUUAUUUGAAAACCACACCCACCGGGGGAAAACAAUCCAACCGUCUCCGGAUACACAUCAUAAGAUAACUACAGCUUACAUCUCAGUUUGGAUCCAGCUCUUACUUGUGAAGACUUCAGAUGAUGUAAACACUCACAAAGACAAUAUAUGAUGGCUUCUAUAGAUGGACAUACACAACUGGCAAAUGUGAUAUAUUGUAAUUACUGCACCAAAGCACAACCCUACAGAUUUUCAACCCACUUAAUAUUGUUACAAAUACAAUACAUGUUUAUAUUUAUAAAAAACAUACAUUUUUUUACUCUUUCUUCUUUAGCUAAUUUUAAUGAUUUAUUUCCAUUUAUUUGUCCUCAAUACUCUGCCAAAAUGAUGUUUUGCAUCAUCCAAAUAUUGUUAAUUUACAUAUUACAGACAUUGUAACAACACAAAGUGGGUUGAAAUCCUGCUAACUUACCCUAUAAUAAUAACUGUCUGUUAACUAAACAUGGCUUUAACACAUGUCUUGUAUUGUAUUAGAGCUGUUGUGAUAUGAAUAUUGAUUUGUUUCCAGAAUACGCUCCUCAGUGUGUCACAUUUACUUCGGGCUGAUUAAGGGAUCUUUUGUAACCUUGACACAUGCAUUUUCUUAAAAUGGCAUGUAUUGUGAAGCACAAUAUACCCUAUCAUGGUUUUACUUUGGUGAAACUGCAGAUCAAUUUUUAAACUAAGGUUUUGUUGCCGUGGUUCUACUAUACUGCCCUACAAAGGCUAAGUGCAGUAACUACGCAAACACUGAAACUGAGAAAAAUGCCCUUAAAGUUUUUUACAUCAGCCAGUCAAACAUGUAACUGCAAUUUUGCCAAACACAUUUCUCUGAUGGGACAAAUUAAACCAGGAUACAUUGUCACAAGACACAUCAGAUCUCACAAAGCCCAUUUCAACCUUUAACUCAAUUUUGACCAAAUGCAUAGUUACUGUGCUUUGGCUUUGUAGGGCAGUAUAGUAGUAUUAUAGUAAUGCUGGAGUGAAACCAUGGUAACCAUACAUUUUUAAAUCAUGGUAAAGUUUGUGGUUACUAAAAUGUAAUUCUAACCUAUGCUGUUGUAAGAGAGUGUUUAUUCUUUAUUAUUGUUGUAAAACCAUGGUUGAUUUUAUAUUUACCAUGUUUUACUGCAAAUGUAAAAUCAUGGAUAACUUUGCAUGGGUACAGAAAAGUGUAAACUGGUUGUUUUUAUUUGUAAGUCACGUUGGUUUUAAUGCAUCUGAUAAAUAAUGUAUAUGCAUUUGGAUAUUUAUUCUGUUUACUGACAAUAAUAAAUUUGCAGUUGCUGA